UGCAGUAAGUUUUCUAUGGCAUAUGUACCCAUCUUGAGGUAUGCAUUCUCUUUAAGGGUUUGCAUCACCCUAAAACAGGUAAACUAUCAGUUGCCCUUGUUCCCUCUUUUCUUUCAACCCUUUUCUUCACUGUGGUGCUUGGCUUGUGCUCAGUAACCCUGCAGUUGCCUUUCCAAGGCCACAGAGGACCUCACCAAAUUCAAGGAACAGGACAGGAGCUGGUGCAGGUGGGGCUGUGGUAGCACACUGACCAUGCAACACCUGUAAGGUACCACCUGCACCCUAUGAUUUGCCUGCAGGCUCAUGUAACAAAUGCCUUCUUACCUAAACAAUGUACAGAGAGUAUAUUGGCAAAUGGUGAAAUUCUGUUUAAAAGGGUAGGAGAGAAUAAAUAAAUACUUAAAAUGAUUAGGCAUUAUAGAAAUUUAACUCAGUGAGACAUAAUUCGCCUUCACAUUUAGCUAAAAUGCACUUGUUUCAAUGGGUUGUUUUUCUCUCUGAAGAUUGAGUAACUGACUCUGCUAGGUUAAAUAGUCUCACCAGUGCUCUGCCUAUGAGCAAACAGAGGUAACCUCUGAAAAUGAUCCCCUAUUCCCUUCACCCAGAAAACCCCACAAAAUCAUGCAAAUCAAGAGGUCCAAAUCUUUGUGUUCACUUCAAGAACACUCGUGAAACUGCCCAGCCAUCAAGGGUAUGCACAGAAAAGCCACUAACUAUCUGAAGAAUGUCACUUUACAGAAGCAGUGUGUGCCAUCCCGUUCUGUCAUUACAAUGGAGGAGUUGGUAGGUGUGCCAAGGACAAACAGUGGGGCUGGUGGAUGCAGGGACGGUGGCUGAAACUCAGUGCUGAAUUAUUGCUGCACAUGCUUACAAAUGCAGAAAGUAGUACUGAACUGAAGGGUGUAGAGGUAGAAUCUCUGAUCAUUGAGCACAUCCAGGUGACCAAAGCUCCCAAGAUGCAGUUCAGAAUUUACAGAGCUCCUGGGCAGAUUACCGGGUUCUAAAUAGGUUCAUUUGACCACUCCAGGGUUCACACAGUGCAAUGGCAUGAUGGUCCAGUAGAUGGCAACGUUGGCUCAACAAUGAGGCAACUUGCCUGGGCACAGCGAGUCUGGGCCUUCUGAAAGUUAGCUGCCCUACUCAAUCUAUAUAAAUGACAGUGCCCCCCAGCACCAUCCAAGAAGUUUGGAACUGUUUUCUUUUGGAUGAUGAAGUUGAACCAAUUACCGAAUGGCAGUGGUGUGCAAAGUACUCAUGAAAUAUUUUUAAAGGGAGGAUAAUUUCUGCAUCAACAAAGAUUAUUUAUGGCUUAUUUAUUAAAGAAAGCCACGUAUGAACACUUUAUGAUGCUGAUAUUGUGUUAGUUGUAAGGCAAAUCCAUAUUUUAGAUCGAAAAUGUACUAAAGACAUUCUUUUAGGAGGUUGACACAUUUUUAAUACAAUCAUAUUUCUUGCCUCAAGUUCUUUUCCCAAGUAACUAUUUUUUUUUUUUGCUUUUUUAAUUAGGAUGGGAUUCUUUUUGUCAAGUAAUUUAAAGAGUUGUUUCAGACAGCCUUCUGCACAAUGCUACACAGGACACAACAUUACGCCUGUCUUUCCAAAUUCUCAACCGGGUCAUUCUGUGGUUAUGUAGGGGGCCAGGGGAGGGGGGACUUGUGUCUUCCUUUGCUCUAUGAGCAGGGACCUGAUUUCUCCAUUAUAAGUUUUUAGAGGUACUUUGGAGGAAUCUCAUUGAACCAUAAAAAACAAUCUUAUUUUACCCUAGUUUUUAAAGGUACGUGUACUGGCAAAGUGCUGGGACCCGGAAAAGGCACUCAGCCAAUGGGGGCCGUGAGCAGUAAAUUAGCUUUGAAAUAAGAACCAUUUUAUGGUUUUCAAAUUACUUGAGUUUCCCAGUACCAAGAACAUCUACAAACCAAGUGGUAAAUUACCCAUGUUCUGUAUUCAGAGGCCUACCUACAUAUUAAAAUGUCCAGCAUUUUCCACUGAAAUAAAUAAAGAUUGCUCAACAGACUCUGUGGCUAGUUUUUAGGAAAUCUACUGAAUUACUAACAGAUUGCUACUCUUUCUCUGUAUUAAGCAAUAAUGUUCAGUGCCUGUAAAAAUCGUUAUUGGUGUUUGCAUCCGGUUAAUAGGAGGCAGAGAGCAGGGAGUGGGAACGGCAGAUGGUGAACCGAGCUCCCGCAUGCAGAGGAAGACCCGGCUUCCUUGAGAGCAUUCCGGGGACGGGGCUGUGCUAGGGGACAGGCAGCCUGCUAAUGCUGCUCGUUCUAAAACUGCAAAAAGAACAUUCUUACUGAGAACAAAAGUUAUUUUUG